UCCCAAGUAAGUUAAACUAAACUGUAGGUCUGUGGAACCUAAUAUCGAUUUAAUCGCUGGGCU
rnacentral:tRNA from 1 species